rnacentral:rRNA from 1 species
UACGGGGGGGCAAGCGUUGUUCGGAUUUACUGGGCGUAAAGGGCGCGUAGGCGGCCACCGCAAGUCGACUGUGAAAUCUCCGGGCUUAACCCGGAAAGGUCAGCCGAUACUGCGGGGCUAGAGUGCAGAAGGGGCAACUGGAAUUCUCGGGUGUAGCGGUGAAAUGCGUAGAUAUCGAGAGGAACACCUGCGGCGAAGGCGGGUCUCUGGGCCGAUACUGACGCUGGAGGAGCGAAAGCGUAGGGAGCGAACAGG